rnacentral:rRNA from 1 species
AUUGAACGCUGGCGGCAGGCCUAACACAUGCAAGUCGAGCGGAUGAAGGGAGCUUGCUCCUGGAUUCAGCGGCGGACGGGUGAGUAAUGCCUAGGAAUCUGCCUGGUAGUGGGGGAUAACGUCCGGAAACGGGCGCUAAUACCGCAUACGUCCUGAGGGAGAAAGUGGGGGAUCUUCGGACCUCACGCUAUCAGAUGAGCCUAGGUCGGAUUAGCUAGUUGGUGGGGUAAAGGCCUACCAAGGCGACGAUCCGUAACUGGUCUGAGAGGAUGAUCAGUCACACUGGAACUGGGACACGGUCCAGACUCCUAAGGGGGGGAGCAGUGGGGAAUAUUGGACAAUGGGCGGAAGCCUUAACCAAGCAAGGCGGGGUGGUGAAAGAGGGCUUCCGAUUGUAAAACACUUUUAGGUGGGGGGAAGGGCAGUUAGGUUAAACCUUGGCUGUUUGACGGUACCAACAGAAUAAGCACCGGCUAACUUCGUG